rnacentral:rRNA from 1 species
CCUACGGGAGGCAGCAGUGGGGAAUUUUCCGCAAUGGGCGAAAGCCUGACGGAGCAAUACCGCGUGAGGGAAGACUGCCUAUGGGUUGUAAACCUCUUUUUUCAGGGAGGAAUAAAAUGACGUGUACCUGAAGAAUAAGCAUCGGCUAACUCCGUGCCAGCAGCCGCGGUAAGACGGAGGAUGCAAGUGUUAUCCGGAAUCACUGGGCGUAAAGCGUCUGUAGGUGGUUUAAUAAGUCAACUGUUAAAUCUUGAGGCUCAACUUCAAAACCGCAGUCGAAACUAUUAGACUAGAGUAUAGUAGAGGUAAAGGGAAUUUCCAGUGGAGCGGUGAAAUGCGUAGAUAUUAGAAAGAACACCGAUGGCGAAAGCACUUUACUGGGCUAUUACUAACACUCAGAGACGAAAGCUAGGGUAGCAAAUGGGAUUAGAUACCCCAGUAGUCCUAGCCGUAAACUAUGGAUACUAGAUGUUGAACAGAUCGACCUGUGCAGUAUCAAAGCUAACGCGUUAAGUAUCCCGCCUGGGAAGUAUGCUCGCAAGAGUGAAACUCAAAUGAAUUGAGGCUUGAGACGUUGCGAGCGACGACGAGGGAGAGG